UAGUUUUUUUGAGAGUUCUUAUUGAAAGAAAAGAUUGCGACCUCGAUGUUGGAUUAAAAUUAAAUUUUGGUGUAGAAGCUAGAGUAUUUAGGUCUGUUCGACCUUUAAAAUUUUACAUGAUCUGAGUUUAAACCGGUGUAAGCCAGGUUGGUUUCUAUCUCUAUUUAUUUAUAAUAUUUUAGUACGAAAGGACCAAAUAUUAAAUUUAAAAUUUUAUUUAUGAAUUAUAUUA
rnacentral:rRNA from 1 species